UACGUAGGGUGCAAGCGUUUGUCCGGAAUUAUUGGGCGUAAAGGGCUCGUAGGCGGUCUGUCGCGUCGGAUGUGAAAGCCCGGGGCUUAACCCCGGGUCUGCAUUCGAUACGGGCAGACUAGAGUGUGGUAGGGGAGAUCGGAAUUCCUGGUGUAGCGGUGAAAUGCGCAGAUAUCAGGAGGAACACCGGUGGCGAAGGCGGAUCUCUGGGCCAUUACUGACGCUGAGGAGCGAAAGCGUGGGGAGCGAACAGG
rnacentral:rRNA from 1 species